UGGGGAAUUGUUCACAAUGGGCGCAAGCCUGAUGACGCAACGCCGCGUGGGGGAUGAAGGUCUUCGGAUUGUAAACCCCUGUCGAAUGGGACGAAAGACUCGCGAGUUAAUACUUCGCGGGAGUGACGGUACCGUUAAAGGAAGCCACGGCUAACUCUGUGCCAGCAGCCGCGGUAAUACAGAGGUGGCAAGCGUUGUUCGGAAUUACUGGGCGUAAAGGGCGCGUAGGCGGCCUACUAAGUCAGACGUGAAAUCCCCCGGCUUAACCUGGGAACUGCGUCUGAUACUGGAAGGCUUGAGUAUGGGAGAGGGAUGUAGAAUUCCAGGUGUAGCGGUGAAAUGCGUAGAUAUCUGGAGGAAUACCGGUGGCGAAGGCGGCAUCCUGGACCAUUACUGACGCUGAGGCGCGAAAGCUAGGGGAGCAAACGGGAUUAGAUACCCCGGUAGUCCCUGAGCGGGCUGGCAAGGCG
rnacentral:rRNA from 1 species